rnacentral:rRNA from 1 species
CCUACGGGAGGCAGCAGUGAGGAAUAUUGGUCAAUGGCCGGAAGGCUGAACCAGCCAUGCCGCGUGAAGGUCAGUGCCCUAUGGGCGUUAAACUUCUUUUGUUCGGGAGCAAUAAUGGUCACGUGUGGCCAGACGAGAGUACCGUCCGAAUAACCAUCGGCUAACUCCGUGCCAGCAGCCGCGGUAAUCCGGGGGAUGCAAGCGUUAUCCGGAUUUAUUGGGCGUAAGGGGCUCGUAGGCGGGUCGUCGCGUCCGGUGUGAAAGUCCAUCGCUUAACGGUGGAUCCACGCCGGGUACGGGGGGGCUAGAGUGCGGUAGGGGAGAGUGGAAUUCCCGGUGUAACGGUGGAAUGUGUAGAUAUCGGGAAGAACACUAAUGGCGAAGGCAGGUCUCUGGGCCGUUACUGACGCUGAGGAGCGAAAGCGUGGGGAGCGAACAGGAUUAGAUACCCGUGUAGUC